GCCGAGCCGCCACCCGGUGUUGGUUCCUUGUGGCCAAGAGACUCACUCGUCAACACCAUGUCAAAGACAGCACUCGCUCUUUUCGCCGUUGCGGCUUUCGCCACCCUUGCUUCUGCACAGGGCAGGUACCUUCGGACCUGCACUCGGCGGACUUGUUCCUAAUUUAAGAAAAUAAUUCGAAAAUAGAGACUGGACCCAUUUGGCCUUCGCUUGCACUCGAUGGGACUAACUUCUGACUCUCCGGCAGCAGAGACGCUAACUUGCUUCCGCACGGACCUGCCCUCAUUAUAGAAUAAAAGUGGAAUUUAAAAUA